rnacentral:rRNA from 1 species
AUGUUUGAUGUUCUAACGUGGACCCGUAAUCCGGGUUGCGGACAGUGUCUGGUGGGUAGUUUGACUGGGGCGGUCUCCUCCUAAAGAGUAACGGAGGAGCACGAAGGUUGGCUAAUCCUGGUCGGACAUCAGGAGGUUAGUGCAAUGGCAUAAGCCAGCUUGACUGCGAGCGUGACGGCGCGAGCAGGUGCGAAAGCAGGUCAUAGUGAUCCGGUGGUUCUGAAUGGAAGGGCCAUCGCUCAACGGAUAAAAGGUACUCCGGGGAUAACAGGCUGAUACCGCCCAAGAGUUCAUAUCGACGGCGGUGUUUGGCACCUCGAUGUCGGCUCAUCACAUCCUGGGGCUGAAGUAGGUCCCAAGGGUAUGGCUGUUCGCCAUUUAAAGUGGUACGCGAGCUGGGUUUAGAACGUCGUGAGACAGUUCGGUCCCUAUCUGCCGUGGGCGCUGGAGAACUGAGGGGGGCUGCUCCUAGUACGAGAGGACCGGAGUGGACGCAUCACUGGUGUUCGG